ACGAGGCAAGAAGAAGCACACGGCGAAGCCCUAGCUAGAUUCCGCCGCCGCCGCCGCCGCCGGCAGCUCUAAUAAACCUGUCGAACCUGAUGGCGCUGCGCUCUCUUGUUAGAAAGACGCCGGCCCUCGGUCUCAGGCCGCCGCCGACGGGCCCCCUUAUGGGUCCCGUCCGGGCGCUGUCGCCGGCGGCGGGUUCUCGGCUCAUGUCCCAUGGAUCUCCGGCAAUCGAUCGCUUGCGCGCCGAGGUUUAUUCUGAAGAGAAGAUGGCCAGGGUUCGGGAGGAAAUAAACCGCCUGCGAAGCGCAUAGAGUUAGAAAAGCUGGACGCUGAGGGGUGGAAGAUGAUUGAGAUGACCCAACAAGUCAUGGCUGCAGCCGAAGCUUCUUAUAAUGAAGCCGCGAGGCAUAAUACUGAAGCCAUUAAAAGCAUAAUGGAAGAUUUUUGGAAAAUAGACAAGGCAUGUGACGUUGUUCUCGUUAGCUGCCCGCUGCUGAUUAUCCUUUUCGCCAUUGCUAUGUAGUAACUUCAGCAGGCAUGUGCCGCUGGAUUUUAUGCAUGUUUGGCUGUUGGCAAUUGGAAGAGACCUGUUUGUUUAGCACCUCUCUGUAUAGUUCAUAUGUGUAUCUAUAUAUAUUAAUUUGCUCU